AUUGCCUCAGUAACGGCGAGUGAAGCGGCAACAGCUCAAAUUUGAAAUCUGGCUCCCCUCGGGGGCCCGAGUUGUAAUUUGGAGAGGAUGUUUCUGGCGCGGCGCCUACCGGAGUUCCUUGGAACAGGACGCCACAGAGGGUGAGAGCCCCGUACGGUCGGCCGCCUAGCCUCCACGAAACUCCUUCGACGAGUCGAGUAGUUUGGGAAUGCUGCUCAAAAUGGGAGGUAAAUUUCUUCUAAAGCUAAAUACCGGCCAGAGACCGAUAGCGCACAAGUAGAGUGAUCGAAAGAUGAAAAGCACCUUGAAAAGAGGGUUAAACAGUACGUGAAAUUGUUGAAAGGGAAGCGCCUGCGACCAGACUCGCGCCCCGCGGACCAGCCGGCGUUCUCGCCGGUGCACUCCGCGGGGUGCGGGCCAGCAUCGGUUUUCCCUGGGGGAGAAAGGCCGCGGGAACGUAGCUCCUUCGGGAGUGUUAUAGCCCGCGGCGCCAUGCCCCAGGGGGGACCGAGGACCGCGCUUCGGCAAGGAUGCUGGCGUAAUGGUCGUCGGCGACCCGUCU
rnacentral:rRNA from 2 species